rfam:Populus trichocarpa scaffold_7_contig_145, whole genome shotgun sequence.
UCUAGAACUCAAGAUAUGAACUGAAAACCGAAUAGUGUCUAAGCUGCAGGACAGAUUCCGACUUCUCCAUUGUUGCUAAGAUUUGAACUUGAAAACGGCAGAAUUGAGUCUUGGACUUCCAUGAAAGUUUUAGGUCUAUGUCUUAGCUUUCCAUC